rnacentral:rRNA from 1 species
UACAGAGGUCUCAAGCGUUGUUCGGAUUCAUUGGGCGUAAAGGGUGUGUAGGUGUCGCGCUAAGUCGGGUGUGAAAUUUCGGAGCUUAACUCCGAAACUGCAUUCGAUACUGGCGUGCUUGAGGACUGGAGAGGAGACUGGAAUUCAUGGUGUAGCAGUGAAAUGCGUAGAGAUCAUGAGGAAGACCAGUGGCGAAGGCGGGUCUCUGGACAGUUCCUGACACUGAGACACGAAGGCCAGGGGAGCAAACAGG